rnacentral:tRNA from 1 species
GGUAGAGCGCAUCCUUGGUAAGGAUGAGGUCACCAGUUCAAAUCUGGUUAUCAGCUCCA